rnacentral:rRNA from 1 species
UGGGGGAUAUUGCACAAUGGGCGAAAGCCUGAUGCAGCGACGCCGCGUGGGGGAUGAAGGCUUUCGGGUUGUAAACCUCUUUCGCUAUCGAACAAGGCCCGCUUAGGGUGGGUUGAGGGUAGGUAGAGAAGAAGCGCCGGCUAACUACGUGCCAGCAGCCGCGGUAAUACGUAGGGCGCGAGCGUUGUCCGGAAUUAUUGGGCGUAAAGGGCUUGUAGGCGGCUUGUUGCGCCUGCUGUGAAAACGCGGGGCUUAACUUCGCGCGUGCAGUGGGUACGGGCAGGCUUGAGUGUGGUAGGGGUGACUGGAAUUCCAGGUGUAGCGGUGGAAUGCGCAGAUAUCUGGAGGAACACCGAUGGCGAAGGCAGGUCACUGGGCCAUUACUGACGCUGAGGAGCGAAAGCAUGGGUAGCGAACAGG